AUGGUGUUCCAGGAAAUGCAGCGGCACAAAGGGAGGCUCUAUUCAACCGGUAGAGCGUAAAGAGACACAACACCCCUCAGCACACACACAUCCAUCAUUAUAAACACUCCAACUUAGCCUCCCUGUCAUACUAAUACAGUUCACUGAAAAAGUGAUUUGGUAAUGUGCUUCGCUGGAAUGUGUGAGGCAAACUGUACUGCCAACAGCACCCCCUUUGGUGAGAAGGCUAUUGUGGAGCAGACAAGGGAUGCAAGAGUAGAACUACAGAAGAGGAUGAGGAGAGCGGGAAAGGAGGAGAGGGGGAAAGAGAAGAAGAGGAGAGAGCACUGCAUUGAAUAAGAAGAAGACAUAUGACCAUGAUGGGGUGAAGAGAGGCAGAGAAAGAGGGAUGGAGGCCAGCUCGGCUGACAAAUAUCUGACGACGUGCUCUGAGGAUGAUUUGGCAUGUUCUUAAAGAAGGGAUGAGGAAGCGUGAAGUUGGCGAGGGUUAAUUGUUAACAGGAUUUAAGGAACACACAAACACACACAGACAUACCACACAAACACACAUGAUUUCUGUCAACUUUACGAUUCUCUUGCAUGUAUGUGUGUGUUUUUUCUUGAGAACCCUCAAAUAUCAAUGGGCAUAUGGUUUCCAGCAAAGGCUCAUUAUAACAAUUUCUUCUUCAGGGAGAAUUUAGAAAACUAUCAAUGCUACUACUGCUGACUUGGAGAAAAAAAUAAAAAAAAAUGAUUUAAAGGCAGCAACUAUUAUAAACCCACAUUUAUGUUUAAUAUUCUACACUCAUGAUAUUUUAACCUACUUACAGCACACACAAUUGUGCCAGCUUGCUAGAUAACUAGAGCCAAUGGUAUGCCUUUGCGUUGGACAAUUUAGGGGACAUAGUUAACUAAGCUGGAACUUACUGAAUAUCUACACUAAGUAGCUCUGAGUUUCUGCCAAUCCCUCUGCAUCACACAGACAUCCUGUUCAGACCGGAAGGCGUUAUCUGCUGUGCCACUCCAUGCAGUCACUAACGCUAACUCUUAGCCCUGCAAUCAGCCUGUGCUAACCGAGCACUAAAACAUUUGCUGCACUUUAACCUGUUAGGGCUAGGGGGCAGUAUUUA